AUACUAAUGGUUGCAUAGUUCAGCUGAUCAAAUCAUGGAGAGAUUUAAAAUAUGUCUGCUGUU
rnacentral:snoRNA from 1 species